rnacentral:tRNA from 1 species
GCCUGGCUGGCUCAGGAGGUAGAACAUGGGACUCUUGAUCUCAGCGUUGUAGGUUCGAGCCCCACGUUGGGUG